rnacentral:misc_RNA from 1 species
UAUAUGAGGGGAGGGCUGGGCUUCGGCCUGCCCCUCUCUGACUAUUCUACCCGUGUCUUUUGCGUACUUCUUGUUUCCUUGGUAGGCUCGCCUGCCAUUAGGACAACCAUUAAACCUUUUUGUAAUUGCAGUCAGCGUCAGUAAAAUUUAAUCGUUACAACUUUCAACAACGGAUCUCUUGGUUCU